rnacentral:rRNA from 1 species
GAUGAACGCUGGCGGCGUGCCUAAUACAUGCAAGUCGAGCGAACGGACGAGAAGCUUGCUUUUCUGAUGUUAGCGGCGGACGGGUGAGUAACACGUGGAUAACCUACCUAUAAGACUGGGAUAACUUCGGGAAACCGGAGCUAAUACCGGAUAAUAUUUUGAACCGCAUGGUUCAAAAGUGAAAGACGGUCUUGCUGUCACUUAUAGAUGGAUCCGCGCUGCAUUAGCUAGUUGGUAAGGUAACGGCUUACCAAGGCAACGAUGCAUAGCCGACCUGAGAGGGUGAUCGGCCACACUGGAACUGAGACACGGUCCAGACUCCUACGGGAGGCAGCAGUAGGGAAUCUGCCGCAAUGGGCGAAAGCCUGACGGAGCAACGCCGCAUGAGUGAUGAAGGUCUUCGGAUCGUAAAACUCUGUUAUUAGGGAAGAACAUAUGUGUAAGUAACUGUGCACAUCUUGACGGUACCUAAUCAGAAAGCCACGGCUAACUACGUG